rnacentral:rRNA from 1 species
UUAAGCAUAUCAAUAAGCGGAGGAAAAGAAACCAACAGGGAUUGCCUCAGUAACGGCGAGUGAAGCGGCAACAGCUCAAAUUUGAAAUCUGGCUUCGGCCCGAGUUGUAAUUUGUAGAGGAAGAUUCUGGUAAGGCACCAUCUGAGUCCCCUGGAACGGGGCGCCAUAGAGGGUGAGAGCCCCGUAUAGUUGGAUGCCGAGCCUCUGUGAAUCUCCUUCGACGAGUCGAGUAGUUUGGGAAUGCUGCUCUAAAUGGGAGGUAAAUUUCUUCUAAAGCUAAAUAUAGGCCAGAGACCGAUAGCGCACAAGUAGAGUGAUCGAAAGAUGAAAAGCACUUUGAAAAGAGGGUUAAACAGCACGUGAAAUUGUUGAAAGGGAAGCGCUUAUGACCAGACUUGCGCCGUGCGGAUCAUCCGGUGUUCUCACCGGUGCACUCCGCGCGGCUCAGGCCAGCAUCGGUUCUCGUGGGGGGAUAAAGGCUCAGGGAACGUAGCUCCUCCGGGAGUGUUAUAGCCCUGGGUGCAAUGCCCUCGCGGGGACCGAGGUUCGCGCUUCUGCAAGGAUGCUGGCGUAAUGGUCAUCAGCGACCCGUCUUGAAACACGGACCAAGGAGUCAAGGUUUUGCGCGAGUGUUUGGGUGUUAAACCCGCACGCGUAAUGAAAGUGAACGUAGGUGAGAGCUUCGGCGCAUCAUCGACCGAUCCUGAUGUAUUCGGAUGGAUUUGAGUAGGAGCGUUAAGCCUUGGACCCGAAAGAUGGUGAACUAUGCUUGGAUAGGGUGAAGCCAGAGGAAACUCUGGUGGAGGCUCGCAGCGGUUCUGACGUGCAAAUCGAUCGUCAAAUCUGAGCAUGGGGGCGAAAGAC